rnacentral:rRNA from 1 species
UACGUAGGGGGCAAGCGUUGUCCGGAAUCAUUGGGCGUAAAGAGCGUGUAGGCGGCCAGAAAAGUCCGCUGUGAAAACUCGAGGCUCAACUUCGAGCUGUCGGUGGAAACUUUCUGGCUAGAGUCCGGAAGAGGAGAAUGGAAUUCCUGGUGUAGCGGUGAAAUGCGCAGAUAUCAGGAAGAACACCCGUGGCGAAGGCGGUUCUCUGGGACGGUACUGACGCUGAGGCGCGAGAGCGUGGGGAGCGAACUGG